UACGAAGGGGGCUAGCGUUGUUCGGAAUCACUGGGCGUAAAGGGUUCGUAGGCGGUGUGGCAAGUCGGGAGUGAAAUCUCUGGGCUCAACUCAGAGACUGCUUCCGAAACUGCUGUGCUGGAGUGUGGGAGAGGCGCGUGGAAUUGCAGGUGUAGCGGUGAAAUGCGUAGAUAUCUGCAGGAACACCCGUGGCGAAAGCGGCGCGCUGGACCACUACUGACGCUGAGGAACGAAAGCUAGGGGAGCAAACAGG
rnacentral:rRNA from 1 species